rnacentral:lncRNA from 1 species
AAACCUAAUGAUUUAGCUUGGGGAGGAAGAAAAGAUAUGAGACAAUCAAGGAAGAAAAGAUAUGAGAGAAUAAGCUUCCUAUUCUUUCCUGGUUUUCCUGGUGAAGUACAGUUUUUCAAGAGCAUCACGUACCACCUACUCAUCCUCCAAUAUCCAGCUGUCACCUCCUCUGGGAAGCCUUCCUGGAUAUUCCAGGUUGAUUUAGCAGCAUGCUGUGUGUAUCACGCUGAAAUGGCCUACAUCCAGGAGCUGAC